rnacentral:rRNA from 1 species
CGGCGAGUGAAGCGGUAACAGCUCAAAUUUGAAAUCUGGCCUCACGGUCCGAGUUGUAAUUUGUAGAGGAUGCUUCGAGCAUGGUCUGGCCUAAGUUCCUUGGAACAGGACGUCAUAGAGGGUGAGAAUCCCGUAUGCGGCCAGGUGCCUACGCUCAUGUGAAGCUCCUUCGACGAGUCGAGUUGUUUGGGAAUGCAGCUCAAAAUGGGUGGUAAAUUUCAUCUAAAGCUAAAUAUUGGCCAGAGACCGAUAGCGCACAAGUAGAGUGAUCGAAAGAUGAAAAGCACUUUGGAAAGAGAGUUAAACAGUACGUGAAAUUGUUGAAAGGGAAGCGCUUGCAACCAGACUUGCGCGCGGCCGAUCAUCCGGUGUUCUCACCGGUGCACUCGGCCGUGCUCAGGCCAGCAUCGGUUUUGGCGGCUGGAUAAAGGCCCUAGGAAUGUAGCUCCUCUCGGGGAGUGUUAUAGCCUAGGGUGCAAUGCAGCCUGCUGGGACCGAGGACCGCGCUUCGGCUAGGAUGCUGGCGUAAUGGUUGUAAGCGGCCCGUCUUGAAACACGGACCAAGGAGUCUAACAUCUAUGCGAGUGUUUGGGUGUCAAACCCAUACGCGUAAUGAAAGUGAACGGAGGUGAGAACCCUUAAGGGUGCAUCAUCGACCGGUCCUGAAGUUUACGGAAGGAUCUGAGUAAGAGCAUAGCUGUUGGGACCCGAAAGAUGG